UACGGAGGAUCCAAGCGUUAUCCGGAUUUAUUGGGUUUAAAGGGAGCGUAGGCGACCUAUUAAGUCAGGGGUGAAAGACGGUGGCUCAACCAUCGCAGUGCCUUUGAUACUGAUGGGCUUGAAUGUAGUUGAGGUAGGCGGAAUGUGACAAGUAGCGGUGAAAUGCAUAGAUAUGUCACAGAACACCGAUUGCGAAGGCAGCUUACUAAGCUAUGAUUGACGCUGAGGCUCGAAAGCGUGGGGAUCAAACAGG
rnacentral:rRNA from 1 species